GGGGAGGAAGGGCGGGUGGCGGGGGAGCGGGCGCGCAUGCGCGACGGCGAGAAACGGUCUGCGGCUGCCUGCCCAUGCCCGGCGCCGCUGCCCGGACCCGGCGCCGCAACGGCCGCGGGGCACGCGCGCCGUGACGCAACCCGGCGGGAAGGGAACGGCAGGCCUUGCGGGUUUCCACCGAGGACACCAAAAAUAAUCUGAUGCCAGAUGAUAUCAGUGAUCCACUUUUCCAUUAUCAGCAGUAUCCAAGAGCCAGAGGCUUCCAAAAAUAGGGUUCUGAAGGUUCAAAUAUCUGGGUUUAUUCUACUUUCUUCAUCACAGGUCCAUGUAUGGUACUGUCUUGUAAGACAGGAUCUGGUUGAGUCUGUGGCAGAGCUGGUUUGGGGACACUUUAGGGAUCACAUAGAAGUUGACCUUGAGCCAAUGACUUUAUGCAACUUAGCAAAGCGGACUGAGACAAUGGUUUAUUGAACUAGAAGCGACCGUCACAGAAGAGCUAUCUCAUGAGUUCCACUUGUCCACCACUGAGGAACUAUGAAUGGUAUCAUCACAGGUGUUUUUAUAAAUACAUAAUACUGGGCAAUUAAUUCAUGUGAUUAUAGGAUUUGUUGAUCUGCCUUUCUAACAUUCCUUCAGUAUUUCUAUCUUUGUAUACUUGUGUUUUCCUACCACUUAGCUUCCUGUUCCUGAUGACAGUGGGAAACAAAUACUUGUAAAGGUGAGCAGGGAGUUCAGUGUUCAAUGAAUAAGGUUUUGGAAAUGUUUUUGUCACUUACUCAUCGUAAAAAGACCAGUGGACAGCUUUUAGCAUGGCUCUUAGUGAUACAUUUGAUUACAUGAUCAGUAACUGCAUAGUAAUGGCUUCCCACUGUUUGCAAUGAAGGUAGUUGCUGUUGGUGCCAGAAAGAUUAUUUCUGAUAAAAAAGAGGAGGAAAGAUGAUUAUCAGGAAAACCUAUCAGAAUGUAAACCACUUCAAGAGAAACUAAAAAAAUCUCUGAAGUUCCCUACUUUGUUGUGUUACCGAAAUCCAGAAUAAAACUCCUUAACACCAA